GAUCAUGGAUCAGAUUGAACGCUGGCGGCAGGCCUAACACAUGCAAGUCGAACGGUAACAGAAAGCAGCUUGCUGCUUUGCUGACGAGUGGCGGACGGGUGAGUAAUGUCUGGGAAACUGCCCGAUGGAGGGGGAUAACUACUGGAAACGGUAGCUAAUACCGCAUAACGUCGCAAGACCAAAGAGGGGGGACCUUCGGGCCGUCUUGCCAUCGGAUGUGCCCAGAUGGGAUUAGCUAGUAGGG
rnacentral:rRNA from 1 species